rnacentral:rRNA from 1 species
GUUGGGUAGGGGAGCGUUCUGUAAGCCUGCGAAGGUGGCCUGUGAGGGUUGCUGGAGGUAUCAGAAGUGCGAAUGCUGACAUAAGUAACGAUAAAGCGGGUGAAAAGCCCGCUCGCCGGAAGACCAAGGGUUCCUGUCCAACGUUAAUCGGGGCAGGGUGAGUCGACCCCUAAGGCGAGGCCGAAAGGCGUAGUCGAUGGGAAACGGGUUAAUAUUCCCGUACUUGGUGUUACUGCGAAGGGGGGACGGAGAAGGCUAUGUUGGCCGGGCGACGGUUGUCCCGGUUUAAGCGUGUAGGUGUGUGUUCCAGGUAAAUCCGGUUCACUUUAACACUGAGGCGUGAUGACGAGGCACUACGGUGCUGAAGCAACAAAUGCCCUGCUUCCAGGAAAAGCCUCUAAGCAUCAGGUAACAUCAAAUCGUACCCCAAACCGACACAGGUGGUCAGGUAGAGAAUACCAAGGCGCUUGAGAGAACUCGGGUGAAGGAACUAGGCAAAAUGGUGCCGUAACUUCGGGAGAAGGCACGCUGACAUGUAGGUGAAGUGAUUUACUCAUGGAGCUGAAGUCAGUCGAAGAUACCAGCUGGCUGCAACUGUUUAUUAAAAACACAGCACUGUGCAAACACGAAAGUGGACGUAUACGGUGUGACGCCUGCCCGGUGCCGGAAGGUUAAUUGAUGGGGUCAGCGCAAGCGAAGCUCCUGAUCGAAGCCCCGGUAAACGGCGGCCGUAACUAUAACGGUCCUAAGGUAGCGAAAUUCCUUGUCGGGUAAGUUCCGACCUGCACGAAUGGCGUAAUGAUGGCCAGGCUGUCUCCACCCGAGACUCAGUGAAAUUGAACUCGCUGUGAAGAUGCAGUGUACCCGCGGCAAGACGGAAAGACCCCGUGAACCUUUACUAUAGCUUGACACUGAACAUUGAGCCUUGAUGUGUAGGAUAGGUGGGAGGCUUUGAAGUGUGGACGCCAGUCUGCAUGGAGCCGACCUUGAAAUACCACCCUUUAAUGUUUGAUGUUCUAACGUGGACCCGUAAUCCGGGUUGCGGACAGUGUCUGGUGGGUAGUUUGACUGGGGCGGUCUCCUCCUAAAGAGUAACGGAGGAGCACGAAGGUUGGCUAAUCCUGGUCGGACAUCAGGAGGUUAGUGCAAUGGCAUAAGCCAGCUUGACUGCGAGCGUGACGGCGCGAGCAGGUGCGAAAGCAGGUCAUAGUGAUCCGGUGGUUCUGAAUGGAAGGGCCAUCGCUCAACGGAUAAAAGGUACUCCGGGGAUAACAGGCUGAUACCGCCCAAGAGUUCAUAUCGACGGCGGUGUUUGGCACCUCGAUGUCGGCUCAUCACAUCCUGGGGCUGAAGUAGGUCCCAAGGGUAUGGCUGUUCGCCAUUUAAAGUGGUACGCGAGCUGGGUUUAGAACGUCGUGAGACAGUUCGGUCCCUAUCUGCCGUGGGCGCUGGAGAACUGAGGGGGGCUGCUCCUAGUACGAGAGGACCGGAGUGGACGCAUCACUGGUGUUCGGGUUGUCAUGCCAAUGGCACUGCCCGGUAGCUAAAUGCGGAAGAGAUAAGUGCUGAAAGCAUCUAAGCACGAAACUUGCCCCGAGAUGAGUUCUCCCUGAGACUUUAGGUCUCCUGAAGGAACGUUGAAGACGACGACGUUGAUAGGCCGGGUGUGUAAGCGCAGCGAUGCGUUGAGCUAACCGGUACUAAUGAACCGUGAGGCUUAACCUUACAACGCCGAAG